UACGGGGGGAGCAAGCGUUGUUCGGAUUUACUGGGCGUAAAGGGCGCGUAGGCGGCCUCCGCAAGUCACUUGUGAAAUCUCUGAGCUUAACUCAGAACGGCCAAGUGAAACUGUUGUGCUAGAGUGCAGAAGGGGCAAUCGGAAUUCUUGGUGUAGCGGUGAAAUGCGUAGAUAUCAAGAGGAACACCUGAGGUGAAGACGGGUUGCUGGGCCAACACUGACGCUCAUGCACGAAAGCGUGGGGAGCAAACAGG
rnacentral:rRNA from 1 species